UUAUCUGAUUUGUCAUCUGUUCAUUGCAAAUACUCGAGAAAAGUUUUUCUUUUUUGGGGACCUAAGAGCUUUUUUUACGCUUUUCUCUAUGAUAACACUGCAACCAGUAAGACGAGGUUGGGGGUUGAUUCUCUUUUAUACUUUUGAUCUGACAGUAAAUAUUCACUUUUUAGAUUGUGGCCAUGUAGAAAAAAUCUCUUACAAAGACGCAACAUUAAUAACUUUCAGAAGAGGAAGAGUAUAAGACAGUAGUUGUGUAGGUGGAAAGAUAGACUUUUUCUCUCUUCUUCCUUUUAACUUCCCUGUUGUCACCAAUCAAGGAAACCCACCCACCCCCAACAGCCUCUGCGGAAGGAGUAAGGAGUUGGUGGCAGAAAGAGAGAGAGCACAGCUUCGCUUCAAUUUACAUGUAUUACUCAAACCUUCCGUUGUGCAAUUCUCUGUUCAUAACUUCAUAUUCCUUCCCCAAUCCUCACCUAGUGCUCACUUCAAACAUCUUGACCUUGUCUAGAAGCUAUACUCACUACCUAUUUUGCUGCAAUUUGAUCCACUAAAAGCUACUUGAAUGAAAACACUCCGCAAGAGCGUAUAAGAUAAAUUUCCAACCAUUGUUGAGAGUGCCAUGGGAAGUCAUUAGUGAUGACACUGUACAAGUGUUGUACUAUUAUUUAUUUCCUCUAUAAGGUAAAGUGCUACUUUUCUUUUGAGCCGAGGGUCUAUCAAAAACAGGCUUCCUACCCCGUAAAGGUAGGGGGAAGGUCUGGUGAAGUGUUAGGCCUGGUGAAUAAAGAUUUUAA
rnacentral:lncRNA from 1 species